CUUUCCCACUUAGCUCUGCCAGUUUUGCAUUCGCAGUCCGCCUGUCCAGUGAACCGACUCCUCAGAGCGCAUGCGCGCAACUAGGCAUUGUUGGUUCUCGUGCAACAGCGAACAUGGCGUGACGCGCACGAGCUCAGCUUGCAACGCUGAGACAUGACAUUGAAUAUUUUGAAGCAGAAGCAAGACACCGCAGAUUUAACUUUUGCAUUUUAUAUACUUUUGGCUGUUUACCAUAAACAUUAUGUCUUUUUCAACUACUGUCUAAUGACAUAGUUCAAAUAGAUAUUCUUUAAUACAACUAAGACUGUGUGCCUUCUUUCCUAUAAGGGAUUAAUGAGGCUUAUCUUAAGUGCACUGGAUCUUACAAUGAACCAUUAUAAUCCUUAUAGAGAAGAGAUCCUGUGUUAAACCCUAAAUACAGUGUUAAAACACACUUGUGUGUUCAGUAUUACCUGUUUAUUCUGUUAACUUUUAAAGAGAUUAAAAAGGACACAACUUUGUAA